rnacentral:rRNA from 1 species
AUACGGAGGAUCCGAGCGUUAUCCGGAUUUAUUGGGUUUAAAGGGUGCGCAGGCGGCCAUUUAAGUCAGCGGUUAAAUCGUGGGGCUCAACCCCAUUCUGCCGUUGAUACUGGGUGGCUUGAUUGCGGUCGAGGUUGGCGGAAUUCGUUGUGUAGCGGUGAAAUGCAUAGAUAUGACGAAGAACACCGAUUGCGUAGGCAGCUGACCAGACCGCAAAUGACGCUCAUGCACGAAAGUGCGGGGAUCGAACAGGAUUAGAUACCCUGGUAGUCCGCACAGUAAACGAUGAAUACUUGGUUUCGGCGAUAUAAUGUCGGAGGCAAAGCGAAAGCGAUAAGUAUUCCACCUGGGGAGUACGCCGGCAACGGUGAAACUCAAAUGAAUUGACGGGG